CAGUCGCCGCGGUAAUACCAGCACCUCGAGUGGUCAGGAGGUUUAUUGGGCCUAAAGCAUCCGUAGCCGGUUGCAUAAGUUUUCGGUUAAAUCUAUGCGCUUAACGUAUAGGCCGCCGAAAAUACUGUGCAGCUAGGGAGUGGGAGAGGUACACGGUACUCGAUAGGAAGGGGUAAAAUCCUUUGAUCUAUUGAUGACCACCUGUGGCGAAGGCGGUGUACCAGAACACGUUCGACGGUGAGGGAUGAAAGCUGGGGGAGCAAACCGGAUUAGAUACCCCCGUAGUCCCUGUCUCUUAUAC
rnacentral:rRNA from 1 species